UACGGAGGAUGCAAGCGUUAUCCGGAAUGAUUGGGCGUAAAGCGUCCGCAGGUGGCUGUGUAAGUCUGCUGUUAAAGAGUGAGGCUCAACCUCAUAAAGGCAGUGGAAACUACAUGGCUAGAGUGCGUUCGGGGCAGAGGGAAUUCCUGGUGUAGCGGUGAAAUGCGUAGAGAUCAGGAAGAACACCAGUGGCGAAGGCGCUCUGCUAGGCCGCAACUGACACUGAGGGACGAAAGCUAGGGGAGCGAAUGGG
rnacentral:rRNA from 1 species